AUCAUUUCUCAGCCUUUUGGCUAAGAUCAAGUGUAGUAUCUGUUAUCUGUUUCAUAUCUGAUACAUCGUCUAUCCGAUGACAAUAUAUUAAAUGGAUUUUUGGCACUAGGAACUGCAGUAGGAGCUUGCUCCUUCCAUUCCGUACAUUGACCUGGUAUUGCAGUAUCUCCAGGAACGGUGCACUAUAU